GAUGAACGCUAGCGACAGGCUUAACACAUGCAAGUCGAGGGGCAGCAUAGAAGUAGCAAUACUUUGGUGGCGACCGGCGCACGGGUGAGUAACGCGUAUGCAACCUACCUAUCAGAGGGGAAUAACCCGGCGAAAGUCGGACUAAUACCGCAUAAAACAGGGGCACCGCAUGGUGAUAUUUGUUAAAGAGAUUCGCUGAUAGAUGGGCAUGCGUUCCAUUAGGUAGUUGGUGAGGUAACGGCUCACCAAGCCGACGAUGGAUAGGGGAACUGAGAGGUUGGUCCCCCACACUGGUACUGAGACACGGACCAGACUCCUACGGGAGGCAGCAGUGAGGAAUAUUGGUCAAUGGGCGGGAGCCUGAACCAGCCAAGUCGCGUGAAGGAAGAAGGAUCUAUGGUUCGUAAACUUCUUUUGCAGGGGAAUAAAGUGCAGGACGUGUCCUGUUUUGUAUGUACCCUGAGAAUAAGGAUCGGCUAACUCCGUGCCAGCAGCCGCCGUAAGAC
rnacentral:rRNA from 1 species